AGAGAGAGAGAGAGAGAGAGAGAGAGAGAGAGAGAGAGAGAGAGAGAGAGAGAGAGAACCAAAGCAUUACUUUCCCCCUCCCUUGGACACCCCCACCCCCAUUUUUGUGGGGUGCCUGUGGCGCGCAAGGAAAAGGCGGGGGAGGGAAAGGAGGAGGGAACCGAGAGCGGGAGGGCCAGAGGUGGGGUAGAGAAUAACCCAAGGGAGGGAUGGAAAGGAGGACGGAAGGUGAAUACUGCUUUGCAACCAACUUGGGGAGUUACAAAGUGGAACCGCGGUCCAAUUCGGUCGGGGUUCCGGGGUCAGGGGCUGGUCUUUGGGGAAAAGAAGGCUGAGGAGCAGGGAGCGGGGUUUCACCUGAGCCUGCCGGGGCUGCUCCUCCCUCCCGCUGCGGCCUCCCAGCCCCGCGCCUUCCCACCGCCUCCGGACCACAUCGGGCUUCGCGGCGCUGAGCCCCAGUCACCACCAAAAGAGUGUGCGAGUCUGGGGAUGAACCCUGGGGCUGCACUGUUGGUCUAUGUGUCUGUCAGUCUGUCUGCUUCUUCUGCCGCCGUCAGAGGGACACCUCUGCUCCCCGCCCCCUUUCCCCUUACCCCAGAGAAUCCCAGCGGGCGGAGGGGGAGCUGAGUAAGGGAACGACUGCCUCCGGGAGGCUGUCACGGAUCCCCGCGCCACCCCCCACCAAGCUCCUGGCUCCCUAGCGGACCAGCCCCCCAGCCCACCCCACCCCACCGCUCCCUUUCUCCACCCCUUUUGCCGGCCCAGGCAAGAACACCGCUGGCCUUCUGAGCUAGGAGGAUAAGGGUGCAGGGAUUAACGUUAGAGUCCACCACGGAAGUUGCCCCAUCUCGAACAAACCUGGUGCCCCCGACCCUUGCCCAUGGCCUGGAUACUUCGGCUUCAGAAGCUGGUGCUGUCUUUCCGAGGACAUCCCAGUCCCAGCACCCCAGUUGAGAUCCCCGCCGUUUCCCCCUUCGAUGCUUCAAGGAAAGCCCGGGCGGGGAGCCGCGUGAGAGCCCUCAGGGGUUGAAGCCGGACAGCUGCAGACUGAGGCGAUCCGCGGCGCCCUCUACUGGUCACCAGUAGGAAUGUAUCUCUACAGCCUCUUGGGGAAGCUUUGCAAGUAAUUAGGUCAUAGAAAGGAGGACUGGAAUUUUCUCUUCGAGUCUGAGGGCAAGUGGACAUGCAUUUGGUGAUGAAGGGGCUUUUUACUUUCCGCACUUCCAAAGCCUGAAGCAAUGAGAGGCCUGCACUGCUUGUGGAGGACAGAAGAGGGCAUCAGGUCCCCUGGAACUGGAGUUAAAGAAGGUAGUGGGCCACUAUUGUGAAUGCGGGAAACAGUAUCAGGUCCUGUAGAAGGGCAGCAAGUGCUCUAAGUGGGUGAGUCAUUGCUACAGCUCUAAGAGACAUACAUUUUUAUAAGACCAUGGUUUUAUUCUGUUAGGGCUCCAUGCUCAUGAUUUGAUUUCAUCUUUGAAAGUAUCCCUUCUAACAUCCAGAUAUCAUCAAUAUUAUAGGAUUAAAGGAUGAUGCCUUUAAGAGCAUAUGUGGUUAAAAUGGCUUCGUCCUGCUUAAUGAGUUUUUAGCCCCUCACAACACAGAUGUCAUGAGUCAUCUGGCAGCUUGUCCCCAUGUUCCUCUGUGGUGUUGGCACAAGGCGUUCCUCUCCUCCAGAGGGUGUAACAGGAAGGUCUCCAUCAGAUUCCGUCAGCUAGAUCAUAGUUUUUAUAUCUCCCCCUGAACUCUGAGGAAUACAUUUCUGUUGUUUUUACAAUAGCUGUCGUCGUCAUGUACUUAGACAUAGUAACCCAUGGAUUAAUAAUGCUCACUCUGAAGGCCUUAUUUCUAAAUACAAUAGCAGUAACUUGGGACUCCAACACACAUGUACUCGUAGUACACAGCUCAGCUCAGAGCAGCUCCCUAGGUAGAGAGCUGUCCCCUCCCUCGCUCUUCAUCAUGGCUGUCUCUUAAAUCCAGUCCCAUAAGUGCUUCUCUUUCUCCACCAUAACCACUGCCAACCAUCCCUAGUCGCCACACCUUUAGCUCUUGUUUUAGCUGUAAGGCUUGCUCCAGCUUAAUGCACACCCCUUUCCACAGUUCACAGUGCAAUCUGUGCCCAUAAGCAAAUCCCCCACCUCCCUCUCACCUAUUCUUAACCUGUCCAUGGAUGAUCUAAAAUGCCCACAUUUAGUUCAGCUUUUACAGACUAUAAUGGAUGCAUAUUUAGCUGCUUAUAGGUUUAGCUGUAAAAAUUAGUAAGUGUUGACCUUUGUGUAUAUCUAUGAAAAUGUGUCCACAGGUAAGAAAAUGAACAUGAUAACUCAUAUCCCUGUACGAUAUCUAUCUCCCCUUCUUCUAUGUUCUUAUCACGGUCACUAGGUGAUUACCACAGUGUAAUUAAUACACACGCUGCAUAUUACAGAGUGUAACUUUUUAGGAUUUUCCAUAAAUGAAAUCAAACUAUUUUGUCUUUUACUCACUUGUUAUAAUUAUCAUCAACAUUUUUGCACAUCCAUUUUGAUGCUUAAAGAAGCUUUUCUUCUGAUUCUUGUAUACUAUUCCAUUUCUUAAUUCAAAAUUUUACUUUAUGUGUAUGGGUGUUUUACCCGUAUGCUUGUCUAGGUACCUCAAGGGUGUCUAUUGUUCACAGAGACCGAAAGACGGUGUCAUAUGCCUUCAAACUGGUGUUACAAACAGGAGUGAGCUGCCAUGUGAAUGCUGGGAAUUGAACCUGGACCCCUUGGAAGAGCAGUCAGUGCUCUUCACUGUUGAGCCAUCUCUCUGGUGCCAGCAUUUCAUUUUUAUAGUUAUACCAAAAUGUGCUUGUUCAUUUCUGAGUGGAAAGUAAGACAAUUCGUUCGAAGUGAUGCUGGUUUUCUGAGGCCGCUGUAACAAGUUAGAGCAAUGCUGAAGUGUUAAAAGAACACAGUUCUUCUUCUCCCGGGUCUGGGAGCCAGAGUCCGAAAUGAACAUGUCAGCAGGAUGACAUCCUCUCCACAGGCCCUGGGGCAUGUACCUUGUGGCCCCUUCUCGCUUUUGACAUUCCUUGGCUUGUGACUUCGUUUCUCCAAUCUCUCUCCAGUUUUACAUAACCUCACCUAUGUCUUUCUGUAUUCCUCUCUUGACAGCUGCUGGUGGUGGUAUUGAGUGCCCACUGGAAAAUGUAGGAAGACAGCCUCAAUGAAAGAGUCGUUCUUUUAUCUGCAACAUUCCCGUUUGUAACUACUCCUAAGAUAAAAUGCAUAGGUUCUGUUGACUGGUUUUUAUUUAUUUUACAUAUGUGAGUACACCACUGUAGCUGUCUUAGACUCACCAGAAGAGGACAUCGGAUCCCAUUACAGAUGGUUGUGAGCCACCACGUGGUUGCUGGGAAUUGAACUCAGAGCUCUGGAAGAGCAGUCGGUUCUUCUAACCUCUGAGUCAUCUCUUCAUCUCGCUCUAUCACUUUUAAUAAAUAAAUUAAGAAGAACUUUAAGCUUGAGAAA